UCUUUCUUGGAGAAUCCCAUGGACGGAGGAGCCUGGCAUGCUAUAACCCAUGGGGUCGCAAAGAAUCAGACAUGACUGAGCAGCUGAGCACACACCUUGUGGAAGGGGAUGGGGCAAGGCACAUACAGCUCUAAGGCACCUCACAAGUGCAGGGCACCUGGUGGUUGCUUAACAAUUCUCCAGGAAGACAGUUGGUAGCCUUUACUAAUAUAGCAGUCUCUUUUCUGAGUAGCUCAUAGCAUGUUGAGACACCAUAGCAUUUUUGAAAUAAAAGAAACUAACAUCCUAAACAAAGACUUUGCCAGCAGUGUCAACACAUGGGCUGUUGCUAGAAAGUAACCUAGGACACUGAGGGUGAUUUUCAUGCCUGGAAAUAAUUUGCGUCUGGGGUUGUAACCCUUCCCAAACGCCUUGUUGUUUAUAUCUGCUUUUUAAAUAACAGAUGGUCCAGUGGCUGUGAUGUUUGUACUGAGGCAACAGCUAAUGAAGUCUUAAGUAGACUUCCCAGGUAUUGUGAUGAAAACAACCUUAGAAAAUACCUGAAGAAGCCUCAGAACUCAGAGAAUACAUACCAGAAAUAAAAGCUAGUGAAGGUGAGAGAUGUGAGCCUUUUGAACACAGCAUAAUCCAAAAAAAUAAAAAAGAGUGCCCUUAAUUGAUGAAAUUGAAUGUAUCUUCAGUUCUAGGGAGCCAAACUUAAUUGUGAUCAGACCAGUAUUGUAAGGCCUGAGAAGCCUCUAAGAGUCCAGGUUUUUCCCUGGGGAAGCUUUUGUGGGGAUACAUACUUCCCAGAUACUGCUUUCAAAUCCAGGCUGUAACCUACAAGCACAUCUUGCUGUGAAACCUUCCAGGGCAGCAGCCGUUGGCUUCUGGAGUUCAGAGCGAAUGCUCUGUGUCCUUGUGUGAGCUGUUCCCCUCUGGUAUUACUUGAUGAUGUUUUUGAUUUUAUACCACGCCUUUUUUCAAAAAGCAUUGAGAGGACUUGCUCAGCAGAUGAUAAUGAGUACAGUUCUCCUAGUCCUGGUUAGGUUUUGCCCUGAAGGCCUUUCUUUAAGUCAGGGGCUUGAAUUGGGGGUGACUGUAGAGAACCUGCUGUGCUGAUGUCAGAAGGUGGAAAGACCCCAUAGGUGAGAACCAACAAUUCUAGGGCUUCCCUGAGGCUCCAGGAGGCCUUGAAAAGUGAGGCAGGCGAGCCUGUACAGGAGGAGCAGGGAACUGGGAUACUUGUCCUGUCUCCCACUGAUGGCUGUGUAACCCAAGCAUGCUUCAAUCCUCAGAGUCAGAGGUCCUGCCUUCCUAUUUUCUCGACAAAGAGCUCCAUGAGUGGUUCCUGUAGACUUUGCCGGCGUCUUUGGGUGGGGUGGUGGGUGGUUGCUUUUUUAUAGUGCAGAUUCCCACUCCUCUCUUGGCCUCUUGGAUCAGAAUCUCUAGGGAUGGGGCCUGGAAAUGUGUACUUUAAAUGUAUGUCUUCAGGUGAACUCAGCCAGCCAGUUGUGGUAGUUAGGGACCCUUCUAGCUAAACAUCAGAGACCCCGUUUUUGUGGACCACUCACAGGUCUGCUCUCUGCGUUGACCCAGUCCUGGCUCCUGGAACUGGUCUCCAUUCCUGGCCGUUGUUUGGGUACCCUCUAUGGGGCAUGUUGACUGGUUUUCCUAUAGGACACAAUCCCUAAUGUAGAUUCUACAAAAUGCUCCAGGGGAAAAGAAGUUCCAUUUAUAAAACCGCAUCCAGAGCUAAAGAAAGAGCAGAGUGGAGGCCAGAAAGGCAAAGACUUGGAUCAAUGGGGGUUCCUCUCAGGGAGGGAGAUCUUUUGCACAGAGGCAGGAAUGAACAUGGGGUGCUGUCUUCGACGCCCCAGGUACAUGGGAGCCUGGGGACCCAGAGUGGCCUGUCACCUGAAAGGUCCUUUCCCCGGAGCAUAAACAGUCUCCUUUUUGUGAGUACAAAGUCCUUGAGGUCAGGGCCCAGAUUGAAAACAGAGCUGGAAACUUCUAGUGUGGUGGCUACAGAAAUUGUUUUGAAAAUCUUGUUGACGUUUCUCUGGCCACAGCACCUAUAACAAGCAUAUUUAAUAAAGAGGGAAAAAAUACUUUUGAGUACAUACAUGACCUAGACACUCUACUGAUUUUUUUUCUUGGUGGUAUUUUAGGGGGAGGGUUUGUUUUACUCUUCAUUUUAGUUUUCAGCUUUCAGAGUUGCUUGCUUGUCCUCCCACCCCAGUUCAUAAAAGGAAUAGAAUUUUCCUUCUAUCUCAGGUCAACAUGGCAAGCAGGCCAGCCAUUUCAGCAUCAAGCAGGUGGAGCUGGAGGGUAUUCGAAAAUGGUAUGCAAGGCUACUGGGUUCAAUAAACUGGGCUUAAUGCCAGAUGAUACAAUAUAUGAGAAUGACGAUGUAAAAGAAGCCAUAAGAAGGCUUCCUGAGAACCUUUAUAAUGACAGAGGGUUUUGCAUUAAGAGAGCGCUGGACCUGAGCAUGAGGCAGCAGAUCCUGCCUGAAGAGCAGUGGACAAAAUAUGAGGCAGAUAAAUUCUACCUUGAACCAUAUCUAAAAGAGGUUAUUCAGGAAAGAAAAGAGAGAGUAAAAUGGGCAAAGAAAUAAUUUAGUAGUCUAAGUCUGUGGGUACAGCUUUUCUCAAGCAUUUUUAUGAAGUUGGUUAAACCUGAAAUGUACAAUGUAGAACUAUUUGGGCUGUAAAUGUAUUGCUUUAAAUAAAUAUUAUAAUUAUUGUU